CCAGACUCCUACGGGAGGCAGCAGUGAGGAAUAUUGGUCAAUGGACGAGAGUCUGAACCAGCCAAGUAGCGUGCAGGAUGACGGCCCUAUGGGUUGUAAACUGCUUUUAUAAGGGAAUAAAGUUAGUCUCGUGAGACUUUUUGCAUGUACCUUAUGAAUAAGGACCGGCUAAUUCCGUGC
rnacentral:rRNA from 1 species